rnacentral:rRNA from 1 species
UACGUAGGGGGCGAGCGUUGUCCGGAGUUACUGGGCGUAAAGCGCACGCAGGCGGUCUGCUAAGUUUGGAGUGACAGUUGGUGGCUUAACUGCCAAAGUGCGUCGAAAACUGACAGACUUGAGGGCUUCAGAGGGACACGGAAUUCCGGGUGGAGUGGUGAAAUGCGUAGAGAUCCGGAGGAACACCAAAGGCGAAGGCAGUGUCCUGGGGAGUACCUGACGCUCAGGUGCGAAAGCCAGGGGAGCGAACGGG